UGUGUGUGUGUGUGUGUGAAGGGCGUGUGUAUUUCUGAAUGCCUCGCCCUUGUUAGAUGCUGCAGGACUUGCCCCACUAUCAGCAGCUCCCCAGAAAUACACACACACACAAACACACACACA